rnacentral:rRNA from 1 species
CGGAAAGGCCCUGCUUGCAGGGUACUCGAGUGGCGAACGGGUGAGUAACACGUGGGUGAUCUGCCCUGCACUUCGGGAUAAGCCUGGGAAGCUGGGUCUAAUACCGGAUAGGACCGCACUUUAGUGUGUGUGGUGGAAAGUUUUUUCGGUGUAGGAUGAGCUCGCGGCCUAUCAGCUUGUUGGUGGGGUAAUGGCCUACCAAGGCGGCGACGGGUAGCCGGCCUGAGAGGGUGUACGGCCACAUUGGGACUGAGAUACGGCCCAGACUCCUACGGGAGGCGGCAGUGGGGAAUAUUGCACAAUGGGCGCAAGCCUGAUGCAGCGACGCCGCGUGGGGGAUGAAGGCCUUCGGGUUGUAAACUCCUUUCGCUAGGGACGAAGCUUUUUGUGACGGUACCUAGAUAAGAAGCACCGGCUAACUACGUGCCAGCAGCCGCGGUAAUACGUAGGGUGCGAGCGUUGCCCGGAAUUACUGGGCGUAAAGGGCUCGUAGGUGGUUUGUCGCGUCGUCUGUGAAAUUCUGGGGCUUAACUCCGGGCGUGCAGGCGAUACGGGCAUAACUUGAGUGCUGUAGGGGUAACUGGAAUUCCUGGUGUAGCGGUGAAAUGCGCAGAUAUCAGGAGGAACACCGAUGGCCGAAGGCAGGUUACUGGGCAGUUACUGACGCUGAGGAGCGAAAGCAUGGGUAGCGAACAGGAUUAGAUACCCUGGUAGUCCAUGCCGUAAACGGCGGGCGCUAGGUGUGAGGGUCUUUCUACGGCUUUCGUGCCGUAGCUACGCAUUAAGCGCCC